UCAAUUCUGAGGUGGACAUGUCCAACCUUGAAAGCAGUCUUGUGAAUUAAAGUGGUCUGGAGAUUUUGAGUCAAUAAAUCAGAGCUGAUUGACAGCAGGAGGAAUAUUCUACAACUCCGCCCUUCUUGGAGGAGGAUCACCAAGCCCUGGUCUAACUUGCUACCCCAUAUGGACCUGGAGAAAGCUGUUUAAACAGUGCAGAGGCUAGGCACAAGUCAAGACACCACCCAUGAUGCCAUUGGUCAUCUUCGGAAAAAUGAAGAACAAACAACACCACCACAGGGGUGGGGGUAGCCUCCUCUGAUUCGCUGCCUGUAUCUUCAAAACUGGUGCCAGUGGUGAUCCUCAUGGGACUUGGGAGUUUGAGCCAUGGCAAUGUUGGAGACAGAACUGGGGGUGGAUGGUGUGGCCAGCCCAGCUUGGAAGCCCUGAGAAGACAUAGUACCUGGGACAUGAGCCUGAACUGAGGGUUUGGACCUGGAACAGGAACUGUGUCAUGUGGGAAUCAAGCUAAACUAUGAACUUAAUCCUCUUUCCCUCCCCAGAGAAUAAAGUAGUGAGUGCAGGGGAAUCGCUUGGGCCUAGGCACCUUACCAGCAGGGUAUCAACUAAACAUCAGAGUGACUCCAAUGGCUAGAACUGUUAGUUCUCUGAGCCAAUUAAGUCUUAAGGACAGUUUCAAUACAGUUUAUAGAAAAGAAUUAGUCCAGCUAAUUCUUGGGGGAUAAUUGAGAGAUCCUGGUCGAUAUUCCUCCUACCACACCUCUGUACCUGAAAUAUUCUCCCUUCUUACCCCUGCCUCUUUCCCCACCGUAGAACAGAAGCU